rnacentral:rRNA from 1 species
AGAGUGAACGCUGGCGGUAGGCCUAACACAUGCAAGUCGAACGGCAGCACAGUAGGAGCUUGCUCUUACGGGUGGCGAGUGGCGGACGGGUGAGGAAUACAUCGGAAUCUACCUUUUGGGUGGGGAUAACGUAGGGAAACUUACGCUAAUACCGCAUACGCCCGUUCGGGGGAAAGCCGGGACCAGCAAUGGCCUGGCGCUGAUAGAUGAGCCGAUGUCGGAUUAGCUAGUUGGUGAGGUAAUGGCUCACCGAAGGCGACGAUCCGUAACUGGUCUGAGAGGAUGAUCAGUACACACGUAGGAACUGGACGACGACGGUCCAGACCUCCGUACGGGAGCAGC